rnacentral:rRNA from 1 species
AUUGAACGCUGGCGGCAUGCUUUACACAUGCAAGUCGAACGGUAACAGGCCUUCGGGUGCUGACGAGUGGCGAACGGGUGAGUAAUGCAUCGGAACGUGCCCAGAGGUGGGGGAUAACGCAGCGAAAGCUGUGCUAAUACCGCAUGUGAUCUGAGGAUGAAAGCGGGGGACCAGGCAGCAAUGUUUGGCCUCGCGCCUUUGGAGCGGCCGAUGUCAGAUUAGGUAGUUGGUGGGGUAAAGGCCUACCAAGCCGACGAUCUGUAGCUGGUCUGAGAGGACGACCAGCCACACUGGGACUGAGACACGGCCCAGACUCCUACGGGAGGCAGCAGUGGGGAAUUUUGGACAAUGGGCGCAAGCCUGAUCCAGCAAUGCCGCGUGCGGGAAGAAGGCCUUCGGGUUGUAAACCGCUUUUGUACGGAACGAAAAGGCUCUGGCUAAUACCUGGGGCUGAUGACGGUACCGUAAGAAUAAGCACCGGCUAACUGCGUG